rnacentral:lncRNA from 1 species
GAAACAACUAUAUUGGGAUACUCAUGAUAAAUGAUAAAAUAUCAAAGAGGAGGGAAUAUGGCAUAAAGGGGAAUAUACUAUGUUUAGAAUUAGAAGAAUCUAAAUUUGAAUCAUACCUCUUACAUUUAAUUAGUUGUGUGACCCUGUACAGGUCACCAAAUAUCUCUUAGCCAACUCUCAAAGACUCUAAAUACUAGUCAGAUUGAAAUCUGAAAUCAAUAUUGGGAAAUCUAACAUCAGUAGAAUCACAGAUCCCUGAUAAUGUGGCCUGUGAUAUUUCACUCAACUUGCUAUUGCUACUAUCAUCUGUUAAUGUCUCUGAUUAUCUUUAGUGGGAAGUCCUAUCCUCUUGAUCUCAGUCAGGAGACAAAAAGAAAAAAGAGCAGGUUGAGCUAAGCAAACUGGCAUUGUGCCCAACACAACUUACCCGAGGCCAGAACCUUCCUUUGCUAAGGAUAGAACCAAAUUCUAUCACAAGAAACCAAAGACACAUUUUCCUCAGCUGCUUAUAUGCCAGUCAAUACAGUGGAGAAGAAACACAAGAACACACCCAUUCCAGGGAAGUAUCUUUUCAAGGAAACCAAGAAAGUUCAUCUGCUUCUUUCUCAUGCAUGAGUCAGAAGGUCCUCUGGGUCUUACUCUCACACUAUUAACAAUCCAGGUCAGUGGUAUCAAAACCAAAUAGAAAUCAUUUAUUGUCUUAGAAUACCACAAAUUUGCAUUAACUAUGUUGCAUUAUAUUUUUAUUUAUUUUAAUAUGAAUCAGGUAGCACUCUGGAGUUUUGCAGCUGGUGCCUUUGAUCCAGAUCAUCAAAGAGCACAAAAGGGGCCUAACUACAUCUAGUAUUUCCAGUAACAAUCCUUCUUCCACUUCAAAAUAUCUAGGGAGAGCCAAGCAUGGUAAUGCACACCUGUAAUCCCUGCUACUGGAAGUGGCCAGUGGAUCAAUUAAGCUCAGGCAUUCUGAGUUUAGCUGUGUGGUAGGGCAAAAGGGUGUUAGCACAAAGUCCACAACCAAUACCUG